GAAGAGCCGAGCGAGUGUCUCUUUCAGUCGUCUUGGUUCUCAUCUUCUCUGUGCUUCCGCGCGAAGAAGCCGAGCUGCGUGCAAAAUGACGUAUAAAGAUGAUGAGCGCCAGGAGCAGCAAGCCACCAAUGAUGCUCCCGAUGAGAAUCCACAGUGAGAUGGGAAUGGCUCGUCCCUUCAGCACCUCCAGCACAGUCUUUUGAGGCGAGAGGACAUUUUGGAGAAAGUCAAAAGAUUUCGGUCGCGGAGCUGCUGGACUUGACACGUCACCUCGAUGCACCAUGACCUGCUGCAGUUCUACGGAAACAC